rnacentral:rRNA from 1 species
GUGAACGCUGGCGGCGUGCCUAAGGCAUGCAAGUCGAACGAGUGUGCCCCGCAAGGGGCGCGCGAGUGGCAAACGGGUGCGUAACACAUUGGUAACCUGCCUUGAAGACGGGCACAACUUGCCGAAAGGCGAGCUAAUUCCCGAUGGACACGAGGGGACGCAAGUCAUUCUCGUGUAAAUGUCCAAAAGACGCUUCAAGAGGGGCCUAUGGUCUAUCAGCUAGUUGGUGGGGUAACGGCUUACCAAGGCUACGACGGAUAGCAGGUCUGAGAGGACGACCUGCCUCAGUGGAACUGCGACACUGUCCACACUCCUACGGGAGGCUGCAGUCAGGAAUAUUGGGCAAUGGGCGAAAGCCUGACCCAGCGACGCCGCGUGUAGGAAGAAGCCCUUCGGGGUGUAAACUACUUUUGCCGCCGAAUAAGCCGCAAGGCUGAAUGUAGGCGGAGAAUAAGAGGUUGCUAACUCUGU